rnacentral:rRNA from 1 species
ACGGGAGGCAGCAGUCGGGAAUAUUGCACAAUGGGGGAAACCCUGAUGCAGUGACGCCGCGUAUAGGAAGAAGGUCUUUGGAUUGUAAACUAUUUUCGACAGGGAAGAAAAAAUGACAGUACCUGUGGAGGAAGCCCCGGCAAACUACGUGCCAGCAGCCGCGGUAAUACGUACGGGGCGAGCGUUAUCCGGAUUUAUUGGGUGUAAAGGGUGCGUAGACGGUUAAGCAAGUUGGUUGUGAAAUCCCCGGGCUCAACUCGGGAACUGCAACCAAAACUGUAUAACUUGAGUGCGGGAGAGGAAAGUGGAAUUCCUAGUGUAGCGGUGAAAUGCGUAGAUAUUAGGAGGAACGCCAGUGGCGAAGGCGACUUUCUGGUCCGUAACUGACGUUGAGGCGCGAAAGUGUGGGGAGCAAACAGGAUUAGAUACCCUGGUA